rnacentral:rRNA from 1 species
AGGACGAACGCUGGCGGCGUGCUUAACACAUGCAAGUCGAGCGGAAAGGCCUUUCGGGGUACUCGAGCGGCGAACGGGUGAGUAACACGUGAGUAAUCUGCCCAUCGCUUCAGGAUAGCCAUCGGAAACGGUGAUUAAUACUGGAUAUGACAUUCCUUCGCAUGUUGGGGUGUGGAAAGUUUUUUCGGCGGUGGAUGUGCUCGCGCCUAUCAGCUUGUUGGUGGAUAAUGGCCUACCAAGGCUUUGACGGGUAGCCGGCCUGAGAGGGUGACCGGCCACGACGUGGACUGAGACACGGCCCAGACUCCGACGGGAGCAGCAGUAGGGAAUAUAGGACAAGUGGGACGAAGCCUGACUCCGAGCCAACGCCGACGGUGAGGAUGGACGGUCCGUUACGGGUUAGUAAACCGUUCUUUCGA